rnacentral:rRNA from 1 species
ACUCCUACGGGGGGCAGCAGUGGGGGAUAUUGCACAAUGGGGGAAACCCUGAUGCAGCGACGCCGCGUGGGUGAAGAAGGCUUUCGGGUUGUAAACUUCUUUUGUCAGGGACGAAGCAAGUGACGGUACCUGACGAAUAAGCCACGGCUAACUACGUGCCAGCAGCCGCGGUAAUACGUAGGUGGCAAGCGUUAUCCGGAUUUAUUGGGUGUAAAGGGCGUGUAGGCGGGAAUGCAAGUCAGAUGUGAAAACUAUGGGCUCAACCCAUAGCCUGCAUUUGAAACUGUAUUUCUUGA